GAUGAACGCUGGCGGCGUGCCUAAUACAUGCAAGUCGAGCGAACGGACGAGAAGCUUGCUUCUCUGAUGUUGGCGGCGGACGGGUGAGUAACACGUGGAUAACCUACCUAUAAGACUGGGAUAACUUCGGGAAACCGGAGCUAAUACCGGAUAAUAUUUUGAACCGCAUGGUUCAAAAGUGAAAGACGGUCUUGCUGUCACUUAUAGAUGGAUCCGCGCUGCAUUAGUUAGUUGGUAAGGUAACGGCUUACCAAGGCAACGAUGCAUAGCCGACCUGAGAGGGUGAUCGGCCACACUGGAACUGAGACACGGUCCAGACUCCUACGGGAGGCAGCAGUAGGGAAUCUUCCGCAAUGGGCGAAAGCCUGACGGAGCAACGCCGCGUGAGUGAUGAAGGUCUUCGGAUCGUAAAACUCUGUUAUUAGGGAAGAACAUAUGUGUAAGUAACUGUGCACAUCUUGACGGUACCUAAUCAGAAAGCCACGGCUAACUACGUG
rnacentral:rRNA from 1 species